AACCAUGUAACUUUAAAAGUUAUACGGUCUACGAUCUUAGAAUACUUGUGACGCCCCCAAAAUUAGGUAUACAUCACCCAUUUUGGGUCGUCAGAUACAUGGUACAAAAUUUAAAUACAACUUACUAAUACAACUGUCGUGUACAAUACGACAAAACAUAAACUAUGAGUUUGAAUACAAAUAUUGUCUACUAGAGAUUAUACAAACUCAAAAGGAAUCCUCAUUACAAUUAUUAUCACACUAUUUCACAGAAUAGUGAGGACUACUAAUGCUAUCCUCUGGACCAUUACUCCAUUCCCCGACUCGUCCCAGCUAUAUUCUCAUUUCCUGAAGAGAACAGUGAAAGAAAGGGUGAGCUCAACUAGCCCAGUAAGAAAUAUUAUGACUAAGAUAAUGCAGAAUAAAUUAUCAUUAGUCUUCAACAAUGUUAAACUGAUAAAAUACAAUAGACAUCAAGUUUAACUGCAGCGGAACAAGCAAUCCAUUAAAAGAGUCAAGUAGAGAAUAAAAUCUACUAUCUUUUAUGAUUUAAAAGGUUUUUCAUCACUUUUAUCGCUGGGACUCAGCUUAAUAAAUAAUCCACAUCAUCCCUGCACUACGGCCAAGGAUAUUCAUUAGUAUCACAACCACAAAUUAUCCAUGCACUACGGGCCAAGGAUAUUCGUGUAUUCAUCAAUGGUCAUGAUCAUGCCAACAACUGUCCAUCAAUGCACUACGGGCCAAUGAGGACUUUUACCACAUCAUUUGUAACAUUACGGUCAUGAUUAUACCGAAUAAUCCCUGGUCAUAAUCAUACCAAGUCCAUCUAUGCACUACAGGCCACAGAUGACUUUCAACAUAAUAUAAACAUGAGGAUGAUGACAAUGAUAUAAGAAUUCAAUAAAACAAGUUCAAGAAUUAAUUUAUCCAGGAACCAAUAACAUCCAAACUGUCAACAUGAUACUUCUUUGUAGAGUAAAAUUCAAGAAUACUUAGAAAAAUAUUUCCACGAAAGGAUACUGGAUGAAGCACAAAUAUCAAGGAUAUUCCACUAAUUUCAUGGAGUAUAGAAGUCAAAGUUUUAACCAACUGAGUAUAAUAAAGAAUGGAAUAACAAAAGAAAUCACCAUGCAUGCGAUAGACCGCACUGGCAGGUUAUUCCAACAGAAUAAUAAAUAACGGAACCAGGUCCGGCGUAAAACGCACAGACAGGAUAUUCCAACAGAAUAAUAAAGAAUGGAACCAGGUCCGGCGUAAAAUACACAGACGGGAUAUUCCAACAGAAUAAUAAUAAAGACGGAACCGGGUCUGGUGUAAAACACACAGACAGGAUGUUCCAACUGAAUAAUAAAAAAAUGUCACCAAGUAUAGGGUAAACCGCGUAUACAGGUUAUUCCAACAGAAUAAUAAGCAAUGGAAUAACAACAGUUCUCUUCAUGAAUAAGAAAGAAUAACACCCCUUACAUUAGUAGGAGAUUGAAUACUGCAGUAGUGUAGUAACAGAAUACUCUUCUUCUUUCUCUCUUAUUCUCUCUAUACUUUCUCUCUCUAUAGC
rnacentral:lncRNA from 1 species